CGAAAUUUACAAUAAAGCCAUUACACUAUAUUUCUUCACCAAAUUAACUCCACUACAACUCACCAACUCCCCCUUUCAUUUCCGUCUACUCUCUGGUUUGGCAAACAAGAAUGGCAAACAAGAAAGAGAUUCAUAUAUCUUUCACCCUUAACAGCAUCCUCUGAAGCAAAUGAUUCGAGUUUGACCAUUUCUUUUGGAUUUAGUUUCACAAACAGAGCUCCAAUUUUCUAGUUGAUAUUCUAAGUGUGUUUAGCCACUUUCCCAGGAAAUCUCCAUAGCACUGCAUGCAUCAACUCCAUUAAUGAUGUUCGUACACUACCUCUCUUUCAAACUUCUAGCAACUUCAGCUCAAAAGCGAAAACAGGGAGGAAAAUGAAAUUAUAGGGAUUUGCCAAACCCAGAAACCACGAUCUACAACUUUGCUCUCUCUAGAAAUGCAAUUCCUCUCUUCCCAUGUUUCGAUAUUGUAAAAUUAUUUCUCUUGUUAAUACUUUGAGAAAUCUGGGCUUGAGAGGGAAGUUGAUGGUGAGAAAGAGAGAGAAAAAGGAAUGUGGAGAAAGAUCGAGAGACUGAAAUGGGAGAGAGAGAGAGAGAGGGAAUGGACUUAGGAAAAUAAAGAGGAAUAACAUGUGAAUGAGCAUAUAGAGGAGCUACGUGAGAGUCUUUAAUCGGAGGGCUGUUAUUUUAGAAGGAGUAGAUGGAUCGGUUUUAAGGUAUUCUCAAUUCAAAAAUACUCAAUUUAAACUAUUUCGUUAUUAUUUAUAGAGUAAUGCUACGAUCAGCCACUGCAUUCUUCUCUCCUCCGAAUCUCCACCGGUGUGGCCGAGCACUCCCCUUCCACUAAUUUGACCGAAAGCUUAGAAAAAAAAACACCUCCCCUGCGUCUGUGGCCAAGCACCACGUUCUCGGCACAAGGACCUGCUUCAAAAAUCAACAAUCUGAACCACAAGUCCCUCCUCCAUCGUCUGGGGCCAAGCACUCCUCUUCCACUCAUCCCCUCUCCCUUUCAUCCCCUUCCACUGAUCGAAAGCUGCCAUUUUUUUGUACUGUUGCAUUUCGUUUCCAAGUAUUUUCACGAGGUCACUGAGCAGAGGAAUACAGAGGGCAUUCAAAAGAAUUCAUGCAAUGAUAUUUGCAGUAUAUUUAUCGUUCCACAAGUGCAAUGUGGGAUAUUUGCACAUAUUAAAGGACAUUUGUUGUGUCGUUUUAGUGGAGAUUGCUUCAAAUGCUUUUGAGAUAGCCUCAUAAAUGCACUGUUCCAUUUAUACU